AUAGAAGGACGUUUGAUCCGGGAGGACGAUCAUAGUUGUCAAAGCAAGAGGCUGCUAUUGGAGAUCGACCCUGUAGAUUUGAGGAUAGAUCUUCUCAAGAAGGAGGAGAUGAUGGACACCAUCCAACCACAUUCAUCCCCCUAACAUUGAAAAAGAAGAAGCAUUGGAUUUGAGGACAAAUCCUUUUCAAGAGGGAGGGGAUGAUGGAAGAGGCCCAAGCACAAACCCACAUGCAAGCCCACCAAAGGGUAGAUUUGGGCCAACCCUAGAGUUAUGGCCAAGAGGAUCCAAGAAG
rnacentral:lncRNA from 1 species